rnacentral:rRNA from 1 species
UACGAAGGGGGCUAGCGUUGCUCGGAAUCACUGGGCGUAAAGCGCACGUAGGCGGUUUUCUAAGUCAGGGGUGAAAUCCUGGAGCUCAACUCCAGAACUGCCUUUGAUACUGGGAAUCUCGAGUCCGGGAGAGGUGAGUGGAACUGCGAGUGUAGAGGUGAAAUUCGUAGAUAUUCGCAAGAACACCAGUGGCGAAGGCGGCUCACUGGACCGGUACUGACGCUGAGGUGCGAAAGCGUGGGGAGCAAACAGG